rnacentral:rRNA from 1 species
UGGGUAAUCUUUGAACGUGAAUCGUGCUGGGGAUAGAUGGUUGCAAUUAUUCAUCUUCAACGAGGAAUUCCUAGUAAACGCAAGUCAUCGGCUUGCAUUGAUUACGUCCCUGCCCUUUGUACACACCGCCCGUCGCACCUACCGAUUGAAUGACCCGGUGAAAUCUUCGGAUCGUGAUCUUGCCCGAUUCAUUUCGGGCGAUGUUGCGAGAAGUUGUUUAAACCUUGCCAUUUAGAGGAAGGUGAAGUCGUAACAAGGUUUCCGUAGGUGAACCUGCGGAAGGAUCAUUA